rnacentral:rRNA from 1 species
GGGCGCUGGAGAAUUAAGGGGGGCUGCUCCUAGUACGAGAGGACCGGAGUGGACGCAUCACUGGUGUUCGGGUUGUCAUGCCAAUGGCACUGCCCGGUAGCUAAAUGCGGAAGAGAUAAGUGCUGAAAGCAUCUAAGCACGAAACUUGCCCCGAGAUGAGUUCUCCCUGAGACUUUAAGUCUCCUGAAGGAACGUUGAAGACGACGACGUUGAUAGGUCGGGUGUGUAAGCGCAGCGAUGCGUUGAGCUAACCGAUACUAAUGAACCGUGAGGCUUAACCUUAC